rnacentral:rRNA from 2 species
GAGCGGCGAACGGGUGAGUAACACGUGAGUAACCUGCCCCUGACUCUGGGAUAAGCCCGGGAAACUGGGUCUAAUACCGGAUACGACACCUCCCGGCAUCGGGUGGGUGUGGAAAGUUUUUUCGGUUGGGGAUGGACUCGCGGCCUAUCAGCUUGUUGGUGGGGUAACGGCCUACCAAGGCGACGACGGGUAGCCGGCCUGAGAGGGCGACCGGCCACACUGGGACUGAGACACGGCCCAGACUCCUACGGGAGGCAGCAGUGGGGAAUAUUGCGCAAUGGGCGAAAGCCUGACGCAGCGACGCCGCGUGGGGGAUGACGGCCUUCGGGUUGUAAACCUCUUUCAGCAGGGACGAAGUUGACGUGUACCUGCAGAAGAAGCGCCGGCUAACUACGUGCCAGCAGCCGCGGUAAUACGUAGGGCGCAAGCGUUGUCCGGAAUUAUUGGGCGUAAAGAGCUCGUAGGUGGCUUGUCACGUCGGGUGUGAAAGCUUGGGGCUUAACUCCAGGUCUGCAUUCGAUACGGGCUGGCUAGAGGUAGGUAGGGGAGAACGGAAUUCCU